rnacentral:tmRNA from 1 species
GAAGCGAGUCGAGGAAGCGGCAAUGAUCUCGUAAACCAUAUGUCGCAAACAAUAAUCGCCAAUUCCAAGCGCGAUUCCUCCGCCUUCGCCCUCGCUGCCUAAUUAGCAGCUAGCGAAGACUCUGCGGAGUGUCAGCCCGGGGGUGAUCCCGACCCGGAUCCUGGCAUCAACUAGGGAUCUAAACUUCUCGGCCCGGCCACGGGGCCGAGAAGGAAAUCAAACAGUGGCUGAGCCUGUCGGAGGCUUGUUCGCGUGACCUCCGGGGCCGAGAAAAGCGUAGCGAACUGCACUCGGAGAAGCCCUGGUU